rnacentral:lncRNA from 1 species
CGGUCUGCUGGGAUAUAUACAUACAGUUUUAUUAUACUAGCAUCGGUCUGCUGGGGUAUAUACAUACAGUUUUAUUAUACUAGCAUCGGUCUGUUGGGAUAUAUACAUACAGUUUUAUUAUACUAGCAUCGGUCUGCUGGGAUAUAUACAUACAGUUUUAUUAUACUAGCAUCGGUUUGCUGGGGUAUAUACAUACAGUUUUAUUAUACUAGCAUCGGUCUGCUGGGAUAUUGUACUGGCUAGUUUUGUGUCAACUUGACACAGCUGGAGUUACCACAGAGAAAGGAGCUUCAGUUGAGGAAAUGCCUCCAUGAGAUCCAAC